rnacentral:rRNA from 1 species
GCAUAUCAAUAAGCGGAGGAAAAGAAACUAACAAGGAUUCCCCUAGUAACGGCGAGUGAAGAGGGAUGAGCCCAAGUUUGAAAGCUGGCACCUUCGGUGUCCGCAUUGUAAACUCGAGAAGCGUUAUCCGCGCCGGACCAGACUUUAAAUCCUUUGGAAUAAGGUACCUUAGAGGGUGAUAGUCCCUUUCAUAGUCUGGAACCCCCGGGGCUUUGUGAUGCGCUCUCCAAGAGUCGAGUUGUUUGGGAAUGCAGCUCAAAAUGGGUGGUAAAUGCCAUCUAAGGCUAAAUAUAGAGGAGAGACCGAUAGCGAACAAGUACCGUGAGGGAAAGAUGAAAAGAACUUUGGAAAGAGAGUUAAACAGUACGUGAAAUUGCCGGAAGGGAAGGGUAGGGAGUCAGAUAUGUCUUAGUUGAUUCAGCUUGACCUUUCGAGGUUGGGUGUAUUUCGGCUAUGGACAGGCCAGCAUCGAUUUUGGCUGCCGGAUAUGGGUAAAGGGAAUGUGGCAUCUUCUUCGGAAGAUGUGUUAUAGCCCUUUACUUGGUACGGCGGCUGGGAUCGAGGAACGCAGUGCACCCUUCGGGGCGGGCCUUUGGGCACCUUUGCACAUAGGAUGUUGGCUUAAUGGCUCUCUGCCACCCGUCUUGAAACACGGACC